AGUGAAUGUUGGCGGCGUGGAUUAGGCAUGCGAGUCGAGCGAGAACCGUAGCAAUACGGGGACAGCGGCGAAAGGGACAGUAAUGUGUAGGUACCUACCUCCGGGUUCGGGAUAGCUGCGGGAAACUGCAGGUAAUACCGAAUAACGUCUCCGGACCAAAGGUGUGAUUCCACCUGGAGAGGGGCCUGCAUCCUAUUAGCUUGUUGGCGGGGUAACGGCCCACCAAGGCGACGAUGGGUAGCGGGUGUGAGAGCACGACCCGCGUCAUUGGGACUGAGACACUGCCCAGACACCUACGGGUGGCUGCAGUCGUGAAUCUUCGGCAAUGGGCGCAAGCCUGACCGAGCGACGCCGCGUGCGGGAUGAAGGCCUUCGGGUUGUAAACCGCUGUCGUAGAGGAGGAAAUGCAGGGGGGUUCUCCCCUCUGUUUGACCUAUUCUAGGAGGAAGUACGGGCUAAGUUCGUGCCAGCCGCCGCAGUAA
rnacentral:rRNA from 1 species